GGAAUCUUCCACAAUGGGCGCAAGCCUGAUGGAGCAACGCCGCGUGAGUGAAGAAGGUCUUCGGAUCGUAAAACUCUGUUGUUAGAGAAGAACACGAGUGAGAGUAACUGUUCAUUCGAUGACGAUAUCUAACCAGCAAGUCACGGCUAACUACGUGCCAG
rnacentral:rRNA from 1 species